rnacentral:rRNA from 1 species
AUUGAACGUUGGCGGCAGGCUUAACACAUGCAAGUCGAGCGGUAACAGCAGGAGCUUGCUCCUGGCUGACGAGCGGCGGACGGGUGAGUAACGCGUAGGAAUCUACCUAGUAGUGGGGGACAACCCGGGGAAACUCGGGCUAAUACCGCAUACGCUCCUCUUCGUUAGAGGAGGAGGAAAGCGGGGGAUCUUCGGACCUCGCGCUAUUAGAGGAGCCUGCGUCGGAUUAGCUAGUUGGUGAGGUAAAAGCUCACCAAGGCGACGAUCCGUAGCUGGUCUGAGAGGACGACCAGCCACACUGGGACUGAGACACGGCCCAGACUCCUACGGGAGGCAGCAGUGGGGAAUCUUGGACAAUGGGCGCAAGCCUGAUCCAGCCAUGCCGCGUGUGUGAAGAAGGCCUUCGGGUUGUAAAGCACUUUCAGUGGCGAAGAAAAGCUUGGGGUUAAUACCUCCGAGUCUUGACGUUAACCACAGAAGAAGCACCGGCUAACUCCGUG